CCUACGGUGGGCUGCAGUAGGGAAUAUUGCUCAAUGGGGGAAACCCUGAAGCAGCAACGCCGCGUGGAGGAUGAAGGUUUUCGGAUUGUAAACUCCUUUUGUUAGAGAAGAUAAUGACGGUAUCUAACGAAUAAGCACCGUCUAACUCCGUGCCAGCAGCCGCGGUAAUACGGAGGGUGCAAGCGUUACUCGGAAUCACUGGGCGUAAAGCGCGCGUAGGCGGGUUAGCAAGUCAGAUGUGAAAUUCUAUGGCUUAACCAUAGAACUGCAUUUGAAACUGUUAGUCUAGAGUAUGGGAGAGGUAGGUGGAAUUCUUGGUGUAGGGGUAAAAGGCGUAGAGAUCAAGAAGAAUACUCAUUGCGAAGGCGACCUGCUAGAACAUAACUGACGCUGAUGCGCGAAAGCGUGGGGAGCAAACAGGAUUAGAUACCCUAGUAGUC
rnacentral:rRNA from 1 species